ACCAAAUCAAGUCCUGACCCAGUCCUCUCCCUUAGCUGCCACCGCUGCCGUGAGCCUGCCGGUCGGCGGUACAAGCCCAUGGCACCGCCACCUGUUCCUCCUGAUCUUCUCCUCUGCUGUCUUCUGCUGCUCCAAGGCUCCUCCCCAGGAUGCGGGUCUGCUCCUCUGCCGACGGCUGCUGCUCUUGCUGGAUGCUGGUUUACGGGGAAGAGUAAGGCCAUGCCAUUGUAGGAAAUUGCACAGGCAGCAUCAUCUGAAGAAAAAAGAAAAACAACUCAGGCAACAGAGCUAGGAGGGGAUUUCGAAGACCACCUGCAAUUGCGGCGUACCUCCCGGCGGCGCGCUUCCCCGGAGGCGGUAUAGGCGGCUCGUACGGCAGUCCGGACUCUCCUCCAUGGGAAGAAGUGCAGCUGCGUGCGUCCGGCUAGAGACUGUCACCACACCGGCGUGAGCCUAUCCCCGUGUUCCACAGGGGACGCGUAGGGCGGGCGGGGCGGGCGCGGGUGCCGGCGGUGCAGGGCGGCCUCCCUUGCAGGCUACGAUGGCGAUCUUGUAAGGGGGCGGGCGGCACCUGGAUUUCUGCGGCAGCGAGCGGAUGGUUCAAUUCUACGCCCCGAUUAGUACUGGUGAUUACUUGCCAUAUUAUGCCUAAUUGAAUAUAGAGGAAGGAAAUGUCAUUAUGGUUAAUUAAAUGAGAAUAAUUUGAUUGAUCCUGUCAUAUGCUGGAAGGAGUGGGAAAGAUCGAACGAAGCAGAGACCUCAGAUUGGAUCGAACGGUUCAGAUGCUCUGAAUCUCCUUCACCAAACGUGUUGUAUGACGUACGACCAACUCCAAUAUAAUAGUAAAGAUCCCCUAAUACUCUCCCUGAUUCAUUUGUUUUUAGCUCCAAUUCACGUGGAGUUCACGGUGAUGGUACAAAUCAAUAACGGAGUAAGCUUUUA